rnacentral:rRNA from 1 species
UAAUACGUAGGGGGCAAGCGUUACUCGGAAUUACUGGGCGUAAAGGGUGAGUAGGCGGCUGGGCAAGUCAAGGAUGAAAUCCCGAGGCUCAACUUCGGAACCGUCCUUGAAACUGCUCAGCUUGAGGGUAGUUGAGGAGAGCGGAAUUCCCGGUGGAGCGGUGAAAUGCGUAGAUAUCGGGAGGAACACCUGAGGCGAAGGCGGCUCUCUAAGCUACUCCUGACGCUGAAUCACGAAAGCUAGGGGAGCAAACGGG